UGGGGAAUAUUGCACAAUGGGCGCAAGCCUGAUGCAGCCAUGCCGCGUGUAUGAAGAAGGCCUUCGGGUUGUAAAGUACUUUCAGCGGGGAGGAAGGCGAUAAGGUUAAUAACCUUGUCGAUUGACGUUACCCGCAGAAGAAGCACCGGCUAACUCCGUGCCAGCAGCCGCGGUAAUACGGAGGGUGCAAGCGUUAAUCGGAAUUACUGGGCGUAAAGCGCACGCAGGCGGUCUGUCAAGUCGGAUGUGAAAUCCCGGGGCUCAACCUGGGAACUGCAUUCGAAACUGGCAGGCUAGAGUCUUGUAGAGGGGGGUAGAAUUCCAGGUGUAGCGGUGAAAUGCGUAGAGAUCUGGAGGAAUACCGGUGGCGAAGGCGGCCCCCUGGACAAAGACUGACGCUCAGGUGCGAAAGCGUGGGGAGCAAACA
rnacentral:rRNA from 1 species